AUUGAACGCUGGCGGCAGGCUUAACACAUGCAAGUCGAACGAGUGGCGGACGGGUGUGUAAUGUAUGGAGAUCUGCCUGAUGGAGGGGGAUAACUACUGGAAACGGUAGCUAAUACCGCAUACCAUCAGAUGAACCCGUAUGGGAUUAGCUGGUGGGUAAGGUAACGGCUUACCUAGGCGACGAUCCCUAGCUGGUCUGAGAGGAUGAUCAGCCACACUGGGACUGAGACACGGCCCAGACUCCUACGGGAGGCAGCAGUGGGGAAGAUUGCACAAUGGGCGCAAGCCUGAUGCAGCCAUGCCGCGUGUAUGAAGAAGGCCCUAGGGUUGUAAAGUACUUUCAGUCGGGAGGCGUUACCGACAGAAGAAGCACCGGCUAACUCCGUGCCAGCAGCCGCGGUAAUUC
rnacentral:rRNA from 1 species